rnacentral:misc_RNA from 1 species
GUUUUUUCAUUCUCACAAAGUGAAGAUGAUUCAGACAGAAAAAAUAAUACAAAGGGGUUUGAUAGGGCUCGAGCAAAUUGCAAGAACCUUUCGGUGACCUGCCUUCCGCUUCCUCUUUGACGAGGUUGCGGAAUGCUGAAUGCGAUGUAAAACCGCAAACGUUCAAGAAUCACCAGAGACAGAUAUAGUUGCACACAGGGAUUAUCUUCCUGGCUUUUUACACCAAGAAAAUAAGAUUUUGUUAAUGAUCCAACCGCAGGUUCACCUACGGUUA